UGUGUCGGGGCUCUGUGUACAGUAAUGGGUUAGGUUUUGUGUGUCGGGGCUCUGUGUACAGUAAUGGGUUAGGUUUUGUGUGUUGGGGCUCUGUGUACAGUAAUGUGUUAGGUUUUGUGUGUUGGGGCUCUGUGUACAGUAAUGGGUUAGGUUUUGUGUGUUGGGGCUCUGUGUACAGUAAUGUGUUAGGUUUUGUGUGUUGGGGCUCUGUGUACAGUAAUGGGUUAGGUUUUGUGUGUUGGGGCUCUGUGUACAGUAAUAGGUUAGGUUUUGUGUGUUGGGGCUCUGUGUACAGUAAUGGGUUAGGUUUUGUGUGUUGGGGCUCUGUGUACAGUAAUAGGUUAGGUUUUGUGUGUUGGGGCUCUGUGUACAGUAAUGGGUUAGGUUUUGUGUGUUGGGGCUCUGUGUACAGUAAUGGGUUAGGUUUUGUGUGUUGGGGCUCUGUGUACAGUUAGGUUUUGUGUGUUGGGGCUCUGUGUACAGUUAGGUUCUGUGUGUAUCCAAUCAUCACUCAAUAAAUCAAUCAGUCGUUAUUUAUAUAGCACUGUAUCAACACGGUGCACGCAGCCUUGUGACCCAUCUGC